rnacentral:ncRNA from 1 species
UCAAAGCGCCAGUGCCGCCCUGAAAGCUCCUGUUUGGGCGGACGACGAGGUGGAGGGAGUAUCGAAUUUUCGGCGGAUGCCCUCCCGCUGCUGCCACAGCGCAGGUCGGUGCAAAAACACGGGUGACCGUGCAACAAAGAACCGGCUAU